GUUGUAUAUCCUGUGUGCGGUGUUAUCAUGAAGCCUUAAAGCCUGCAUAAACCAAAUCAAAGGAAAUGCUUUAACAGAUCAGAGGGUGGGGAAGUCCCUUUUUAUCUUGGUGACACCGCUUUUCACCUCCAUUGGUGACUUACUGGGGGCCGGUGCUCCUGUUGCACCCUGGGAUACCAGACGAUGGAGGAUGCCUCUAGCCCAGGUACCCUGGCAACCGUUCAUGGAGCCUACAGCUCCACUCUCCAAACCUCCACCCCCUCAACCCUCCAUCCCUUCACCCAGCGUCCCCAGUCCAGGGCUCUGGCCACACAUAAACCCCAGACAGGCCUCUGAUGGAUGGGGCUGGAGAGAGAAGAGAAGCCCUUGAUGUUGGAAAUAAAUCUGACAGGCCCUACUGGAAGGGGCCUAAUCUUUCCCAGACUAAGGAUUUUUCAUUUUCUUAUUUUUUUUUUAUAUCCUUCUCUCUCUUUAUUUCCACCCCCACUCUCUUCUCUUCAUCCAUGUCUACAGAGAUAAUGCUGUAAUUUACAGCCAAGCAUUAUGGAAGAUGAAUGAUAGUUGCUUUUAGACUUAAUACACAUUAGCCUUUAACAAAUAAUAGCCUACUGGUAAGAGGAAAACAAAGAAAUACCUUCAAAAGGAAUUCGUUAUUUGGUCAUAUUCUUCCCCUAAUGUUCUAGUUAUAUAAUUCCUGUUCUUUCAUAAGAUUCAAAGUUGCUACUGAUCAAAGUACACUGAUCAAUCUUCUUUUCAAAGGUACCUUGUUUUUAUUUUUCAUAUUCAUGGAUAAAGUAUGGUUGAGAAUAGACAAUAAAGCAAUGCUUUUCCCAUUUUGA